ensembl:lincRNA
GGCGCCUUUCCCAGAAAUUGGGCAGAGAUUUAGGCCUUACAGUUACUUAAACUUGUAACCCUCCCAGUAGCUGUGGAGUCUAGUAAACGUGGCUUCUGCCGGGUUCGCCGGUCAGCCCAGGCUGUUGAGGGGCAGGCAUGGGGCCCGUGGGCCAGAGGAGACCUCCAGGCUUCUCUCCCACUCUUCUCUGGCCUGCACCCCCUCUUGGGUAGAGGCUGCACCUCCUGCUUGGGUUCGGCCACCUCCAAAUACUGCAUCGACGGCCCGUGUCUCUGCCUGCGGGGCUGGGCCAGCGCCAGAGACGCAGGCAAAGCGCCAGCCGCCCAGGGGCAGCAGCUGGCGAGUUGAGGUUGGUCUUUCGGCUGAGGGUUCGGGGAGCUGGGGAUCCUGACCCGACACACUUUGCGUGUGCCACAAAACCACAGCCUUUCCUUCCCAUCCAGCCUCGUCUGCAUGAGAAAGCAUCACCUUUGCUUUCGGUUUGAUGCGGCAGUUCUCAGCCAGGCUGGAGGCAGCCUGGAAUCCCAGAUCUCCUACUGACACCUCAGGUCUCCCCCGCGGCUCCGGGGACGUCCCUAACCCCUGAUGCUGCACCACAGGCAGACCUGCCAGAACCUCACCACCACCAAGAUUGCUACCUGGAGAUUCCUGCUUGCCCCAAACCCCAGGGCACCACUUCUGCGUCCCUCAUUCCCACUGCUCCGGAUCCCUGUCUACAGAGCCACUCCUCCCGCCGGUGUGAUCCUGGAGCCCACGGUGGCCCCUGCUUUGAAGAGCCUGUUGGUCCAGUCCUUCCCGCCUUCUGCAGAGCUGUUCUCCUCCUUCUAAAGAAGUCACCUGGGCCCUGGGCCCCGUCUUCCUGGCUCCACAGAGUCCCUGUGGCUGCAGGCACUGCUUCUCUCUCCUGCACCCAAUCCCUCUCCCACUCCACUGCCUCUGGGUGUGCAAAAACACUGAUGUUUCCCAUAUUUUCAAAAUCUCUCCCCUGUAGUUCCCACCUGACUUCUAAUAGGUGGCCAAAGUACAGACAUUAAUGUAUGUUAAGGCACAUAAUUAAUGCAUAUUAAAAGUUAACAAUAAUGAAUAAGUAAUUAUUAUUAUACAUUAAAGUCUUAAUGUAUAAUGAGAAGUAUUAACUAUUCAGAAGUCCAAGCACUUGUGUGUGUGUGUGCAUGGUGCUAUCGCCUUGCUGUGGGCAAACCUGCAUUGGCACAGAGGCCACUUCCUGAGCCUGGACCCAGUCUCAGAGCUGGGGAACUGGCCCAGUGCAAAAGGGUCGGGAGCAUCUGCAACAGAGCCUGAGCUCUGCCAUCGUCAUUGACACAGCCUCCAUCCACCCUCCCCAACUCAACAGAGAGAGCGCUCCAUCAUACUUCUAAGACUUAGUAGGCCAAGAGGGGCUGAAUUAAAUUCUCUGAGACUUGUCUUUGGUCUGACUCUGGCAGCCUCAGUCUCCCAGAGCCCGUGGGAACUCGGCAGCCGGCAGGCGGAAGGCUGGGCGACGUCAGAAGAAGUAAAGGGGGAAGAACUUUACUCUUAGGAUCUGGCUGGACUCUAAAGGGCACAGUCAAGUCCCUGGAUACCGAGCACAGGGCUGAAC